CACGGAGCCGCUGGCUACAGGAACCAUGGUAGUAGACCCUGCGGCAGGCACACAAGCAGACAAUGCCUCCAGACCUGGCGCAGGCAGACAAGGCACCGGAAAAGAUUCAGCACGAGUGGCCAGGGUUGCUGUUCCCUGAGAUUCUCCUCGGGGUUGCUGUUCCCAGAGUGUUUCACACCGAAGCCAGAGACGACAAGCUGAGUCCGCCAGUGCAUGUUACCAAGAGACCAAUAUGAUUGGUGGGCAAAAUUAACAUGUCUUCAACCACACUGGUUAAACCAGAGGGCCAUCAAGAAGUCCCUCCUCUAAAAAGAACGACUACAAAGAUAUAGUUAAGAAAACAUCUCUUCUUGUUUGCAGAAAACCGUCUGGGAAAGAAAUUUCACAAACCAAAACAUCCUAGGCAUGAAAUCAGGGCUACAGGUGAUGCCCUUCAUCACUUGAGAAUCACAACAAGCAUGUUUUUAUUCACAGUGUUCAGUAAAGUAGGCCAGACUUUUGUGUAACACUUGUAUUGAGAACGUGUUUUUAUUCUGAAGUGAUCAUACAGUAAUAACUAGAAGUAAAUUUGAUUAUUUGGAAAUGGGCAAAUAAAAAAUCAUAAAAGCAUCAGAAACCUUAAACAGCUUACUGGAUAGCUGCAACAUUGUGAUGAAGGUGAUUUGUGGUGUUUAUUUUCUUGGUUAGAUGACCUUGGAUUCGAGGUAUGGUUUAAAUGUUUAGUAGUAUACAGCCUAAUUGUCUUUGGUGUGUUUUUAUUGAUUAAACAAAGAAGGGAGAGAUGUGGGAGGGAAGAAAAGCCUUAUAGAAUAAGGACCUUUUCCACCUUUGUUUAAUCCUGUUCACUUCUGUUCACUCUUGUUCACCAGAAAGCAUUCUGGGAAAGGUUCAGCUAACAGCAAGGUAAAAAACAGGUUAUAUAACCAGAGAACAAAUUGUAUAACUAGUGUGUUAUGUGUGGGGCAGUGAUUGGUUGGGGAGAUGCGGGGACACAGCGUGAUCUAAAAGGUGGUUGGGUAAAAGGACAGGUGAACAGCGGCAACUGCAGUGGCAGGCAGCCAAUGCAUGCUUGUUUUGCCUAAGUUUAGAGGACAAAAAUAUUGGUUUUUUGCAAUAAACCAUUUUCUUCAGAACAAGCAAGAAGGAGGUCUGUGUCUCAUUGCUACAUUGGAGAGCCAAGGAGUGGUCAGCAAGACCCACUCACCUUUCAACAGCCCCAUUUGACCUGUGCACAAGUCGGAUGGACAAUGGCGAUUGACAGUGGACUAUUGUGGCUUGAAUGAAGUUACCCCACCACUGAGUGCGGCUACGUCAGACAUGCUGGAGGUUCAGUAUGAACUGGAGUCCGAGGCAGAGAAGUGGUAUGCCACUACUGAUACUGCAAAUGUGUUCUUCUCCAUCCCGUUAGCAAUAGAGUGUAGGCCACAGUUUGCUUUCACCUGGAGGGGUGUGCAGUACAUGUGGAACUGAUUGCUCCAGGGGUGAAAACACAGUCCCACCAUCUGCCAUGGAUUGAUCCAGGCUGCACUAGUGAAGGGUGAGGCUCCGGAACAUCUGCACUACAUUGAUGACAUCAUUGUAUGGGGGUGUCACGAUCUGUUUAAUGGUUGUGAUGGUUCGUUUUGAUUUCAAAGUGCAAAAAGAGGCAAAGAGAACUCAGUUUUAACCAAAAAUCAAUGUAUCUUUUACUGGUACCCACAAUCAAUGUGCAACAGAGGAAAAAGGAGAGAAAGAGAAAGGGAGAGGAGAGAAAAGAGAAAACAAGGGGGUUAUAGCUACCAAUGGGAGACGCGAGUCCUCCUGACACUGAGCCAAUAGACCACCUUCAAAGUCCUUGUGGCACGUGCCAAUAGAUCCAUCUUCUCUGUCGGGGAGGUCUCAGAGGUGGUAAAGUUGUUGGGGCUUCUUAUAGUCCUUUUCAGGGCGAGGGGCAGCUUGCCAGGAGGAGUGGUAGAUCUCGUGAGCGGUGCCGUCUUGUUGCUCCAUUGAGGGAACAGGUCGGUGUGGGAUUGCAUUUUAUGGAAAUGGUUUGUUCUGGCUCACCCCUGGGAAAUGUACGGUUUAUCCCAAGUCUGGAUCCUCCCUGCAGUAUCCUGUAUCUGUAACCUCAUUGGCUGGAGAAUGUUACCGCGCCCCUUUGAACCUCUGUGAUAAGAAUGCUAAGGCAGAAGGCUCUGCCCCUCUUGCCCCUCUACCCCUGGAGGCCUCCUGAUGCUCCCUUUCCCUCUCCUCCCUUCCCCCCCCUUUCCCUUCCCCUCUCCCUGAGUGAAUAAACCCUCACCUCAUCAGCAUCCCACCGGCAUCUGAGUCUCUUUGCCUGCCAGCGCGGGAACACCACGACCCCAAAAGACCCCGGGGGUCUCCGGGGGGCACUCCCCGGGGACCCCCCAUAAAUUUAAACAACAACAGGUCAGUACAGCACAGCUAGUUCGUCCAGCAGCAAACACAGCCCAGGCACCUGUGACGGGUCCAUUGUUCUUCCCACGGGCUAGUGGGCACACCUGCAGGACUUUGGCAGGUUUCCAUCUCAGCCUAUGCCAAGCCAGGUGGACUGAGUCAGGGGUCUCUAUGGUCUCAGCCCCCUUUCCCCCCCAUCCUUCUGUGGCAAUCGGGAGGCAAAUGAAGGGUCUUUGGACCGACUCUCACAGAGGGAACACAGCAACAGAAGUAUUUGAGAAAGAAGAAAAGAUCAUUCAGAUUCUCCUGGAAGCCAGCUUUGCCAUCAAAAAGAGUAAGGUCAAGGGACCUGCCCAAGAAAUACAGUUCCUGGGAGUAAAGCGGCAAGACAGAUGGCAUCAGAUAUGCACCAAGGUCAUCAACAAGAUCACAGCAAUGUCUCCACCAACCAGCAGGAAGGAAACGGAAGCUUUCCUAGGUGCCAUAGGAACAUAAGUGCCAGCCAUCAACUUUCAUUUAUUAAGGUCUGUUAUUGAAAACAGAACUUUUACUAAUAUUACACCAUCUGCACCUACUACACGAUGGAGAGGAGCCUCUUUAUGCCCCAGUUCCCUCAUAAUAUCAGUCUCAGUAGCUUGAUUGUCUGUUGCCCCCUCACACCUGCAAUUAGGACCAUAAGAUCUAAAUACUCCUCCUAAUCGAGAUGAUGUUUAGAACAAAUUUGUCCUAUGCUGAAUAUAGAACAUCAACACUUUAACCAUUUUCCUUGAUUCUCCUUUUUAAGAGCCAGCACAAAAGGGUCUGAGGGGACUGAAUUCAAGCCACAAUCUUUCUACCAUUCUGGAUGAUUCCUUAAAGAGAAAAACAUAUCAGCAUACACAACCUCAUCCCAUUUCUGUUCUCAUCUUAAAAACAACAUUAGCUGUACCAAUGCAUUAUAGUUCAAGGUUCCAUUUAGUGGCCAUUUUUCUGCAGAGUUUAGUUUGUACAAUGGCCACCAUUAAUUACAAUACUUAAUCAAAUUCUCCCUGGUAGCUGUUCCCCCGGGGGCUUUCUGAUCUUUCUCCUAUGUCACAAAAUGCAACCAAGUGGGGAUUUUUUCAGAAUGAUUCCUUAAGAUUGUCCACUACCCAUCUCCAAAUAGUAGACCCAAAAUGUUACAAUAUGGAUACAAAUAAAAAACAACGAUUGAUAAAACCAAGUUAAAUACAAAAUUCCAGAAUACCAAAUAACCCACCUAAUGCGCUGGAAGAUCCACACGCCUUACAAGGGCAGCAUUCCCAAAAGAAUCCCUUAUUAAUAGAUGGGAUCUUACUUGAGCUCCAGACUGAUCCAGGGAUCUGUGGUAUUCUUCAGGAAAGUCCUGGUGCUGGUAAAGAUCCAGAGAUCCCUUGGAUCCACGGGAGAUCAGGUAGAGUGUCCCAUCUAGAGGUGCCAAAAAUGAUACUGAAAUUGACCAGAAAGAAACUUUCUAACACAGUUUUGAGUAUUAGAAAGUAGGCAUUCUUUAUUGCAGUGCACUGGUGUCUUGGGUUACAAUGAAAAGGUGUAACCAAAAGUAUGCAUUCUAUUACUAUCUCCAUAAACUGUUAAAAUAGGUGGAGAAGUGUUCUUUAUCUUCUCCAUGAGUCAGUCCUGAUAACUCCCUCUGGAGAGCUAUCUCUGCUAAUGGGCCAUCAAGGUCUCAUAGCAUGAUUUACAGAAUUACAUAAUCCCAUUCUGAGAUGACCCACUCAGGGGGAAGACUCAAACAUUCCUACCUGUAUAUAAUCUGAGACAUAGAACACCACGGGAGCACUACCACUGGAUUCCCAGAGUGAUAGUGGAGGGUAAAAAAAAAAAAAAAAAUUCUGUAUGGCUAACUACGGGUGGUGGGGAGCUAGAAGACACACGGCCUGAAACCUGACGCAGCCUGGCCUUGGAACAGACGUCAGCUUACUGCAACCAGCCUCAUACUAUUGUUUUAAUUGAUUCAAGUGUGACUCCAGCCUGGGAGAUGAUUGGGAAGCAUUGUUUUAACCAAAUCAAGUAUAACUCAGGGUAAAGCAUAAGCAUGAUUUAAGAUAGUAACUAAGGAUUAGAGCCAGUAGCUAAGGGGGGAGGGUGCUAGUUAACGUAUGCGUGACUUGAAGGUAUAAAAUCACAAACCAACUUUGUAUCCUCGGGCACAAGAUUUGGGUGUCCCAUCACCCCUGUGUCCCGCGUGCUCAAAUAAAGAACUGCAUAUGAUCGCCUUUGUGUGGUUAUGUGUUUUCCUAUGCUAACAAGAGGACAAGAGUUCAAUACUCACCACUGGACCUCCAGAGAGAGACCAGAUCUUUUUACAGGAUCACCACUUCGACAAAACCACAUCCAUAACUCCAGCAGGACUGUAGCCACCAUUUAAUCAGACUGCUACCACCACCCUGAUCAACAGGGUGUCAGGUUGUAUUCUGAGUCUGUCAGUUAAAGUCAGUGUUUCUGUACUGUUGCUUUUAUUUUAAUUUUCCUA